AUGGAAAUAAUUAGUGGCAGACGGGUGAGUAAUGCAUAGGAAUCUACCUAGUAGUAUAGGAUAGCCACUAGAAGUGGUGGGUAAUACUGUAUAAUCCCUGCGGGGGAAAGAUUUAUCGCUACAUGAUGAGCCUAUGUUAGAUUAGCUAGUUGGUGGGGUAAAGGCCUACCAAGGCAGUGAUCUAUAGCUGGUCUGAGAGGAUGAUCAGCCACACUGGAACUGAGACACGGUCCAGACUCCUACGGGAGGCAGCAGUGGGGAAUAUUGGACAAUGGGCGCAAGCCUGAUCCAGCUAUGCCGCGUGAGUGAGGAAGGCCUUAGGGUUGUAAAGCUCUUUCAGUGGGAAAGAUAAUGACGGUACCCACAGAAGAAGUCCCGGCAAACUCCGUGCCAGCAGCCGCGGUAAUACGGAGGGGGCAAGCGUUGUUCGGAAUUAUUGGGCGUAAAGGGCAUGUAGGUGGUUUAGUUAGUUAAAGGUGAAAUGCCAGGGCUUAAC
rnacentral:rRNA from 1 species